rnacentral:rRNA from 1 species
GAUGAACGCUGGCGGCGUGCCUAAUACAUGCAAGUCGAGCGAACGGACGAGAAGCUUGCUUCUCUGAUGUUAGCGGCGGACGGGUGAGUAACACGUGGAUAACCUACCUAUAAGACUGGGAUAACUUCGGGAAACCGGAGCUAAUACCGGAUAAUAUUUUGAACCGCAUGGUUCAAAAGUGAAAGACGGUCUUGCUGUCACUUAUAGAUGGAUCCGCGCUGCAUUAGCUAGUUGGUAAGGUAACGACUUACCAAGGCAACGAUGCAUAGCCGACCUGAGAGGGUGAUCGGCCACACUGGAACUAAGACACGGUCAAGACUCCUACGGUAGGCAGCAGUAGGGAAUCUUCCGCAAUGGGCGAAAGCCUGACGGAGCAACGCCGCGUGAGUGAUGAAGGUCUUCGGAUCGUAAAACUCUGUUAUUAGGGAAGAACAUAUGUGUAAGUAACUGUGCACAUCUUGACGGUACCUAAUCAGAAAGCCACGGCUAACUACGUG